rnacentral:lncRNA from 1 species
CCCUUGGCCUCUUCUAGUGUAAUUUGUCAUCAUUUUUGUGCACUCUUGGAUUGCAGAACAUGAUAUCAUCAAAGAAAAAACGAAGAGUUGAAAAGAACGGAGAAAUAGUGCAGAGCAAAAAGACAUCUGUGGCUGUGUAAUUUGUCAUCAUUUUUGUGCACUCUUGGAUUGCAGAACAUGAUAUCAUGAAAGAAAAAGAACGAAGAUGAAAAGAACGGAGAAAUAAUGCAGAGCAAAAAGACAUCUGUGGCUGUGUAAUUUGUCAUCAUUUUUGUGCACUCUUGGAUUGCAGAACAUGAUAUCAUGAAAGAAAAAGAACGAAGAUGAAAAGAAUGGAGAAAUAGUGCAGAGCAAAAAGACAUCUGUGGCUGUGUAAUUUGUCAUCAUUUUUGUGCACUCUUGGAUUGCAGAACAUGAUAUCAUGAAAGAAAAAGAACGAAGAUGAAAAGAAUGGAGAAAUAGUGCAGAGCAAAAAGACAUCUGUGGCUGUGUAAUUUGUCAUCAUUUUUGUGCACUCUUGGAUUGCAGAACAUGAUAUCAUGAAAGAAAAAGAACGAAGAUGAAAAGAAUGGAGAAAUAGUGCAGAGCAAAAAGACAUCUGUGGCUGUGUAAUUUGUCAUCAUUUUUGUGCACUCUUGGAUUGCAGAACAUGAUAUCAUGAAAGAAAAAGAACGAAGAUGAAAAGAAUGGAGAAAUAGUGCAGAGCAAAAACAUCUGUGGCUGUGUAAUUUGUCAUCAUUUUUGUGCACUCUUGGAUUGCAGAACAUGAUAUCAUGAAAGAAAAAGAACGAAGAGGAAAAGAAUGGAGAAAUAGUGCAGAGCAAAAACACAUCUGUGGCUGUGUAAUUUGUCAUCAUUUUUGUGCACUCUUGGAUUGCAGAACAUGAUAUCAUGAAAGAAAAAGAACGAAGAUGAAAAGAACGGAGAAAUAGUGCAGA